rnacentral:misc_RNA from 1 species
GUGAGUCAUCGAAUCUUUGAACGCACAUUGCGCCCUUUGGUAUUCCGAAGGGCAUGCCUGUUCGAGCGUCAUUAUCACCCCUCAAGCCCUCGGCUUGGUGUUGGACGGUUUGGUGGAGACCCCCCUCGGGUGGGCUUUCUACCCCUCCCAAAGACAAUGACGGCGGCCUCGUUGGACCCCCGGUACACUGAGUUCUUCACGGGACACGUAUCGGACACAUGGGUUUACGGGACACGGUCUGCCUCCCCUCAGGGAGAAUCUUUCUAAGGUUGACCUCGGAUCAGGUAGGGAUACCCGCUG